rnacentral:rRNA from 1 species
CUGAGACACGAAUCCAGACCCUACGGGGUGCAGCAGGCGCGAAAACUUGGCAAUGCGAGCAAUCGUGACCAGGGAACUCCAAGUGGCUGGGGUAAUACCCAGUUUUUUCUUGACUCUUCAAAGGUCUUGGAAUAAGGGGUGGGUAAGGACGGUGCCAGCCGCCGCGGUAAUACCGGCGCCUCAAGUGGUAGUCGCUUUUAUUGGGCCUAAAACGUCCGUAGCCGGUCUGGUGCAUUCGUGGGUAAAUCAACCCGCUCAACGGGUUGAAUUCUGCGAGCACGGCCAGACUUGGGACCGGGAGAGGUGUGGGGUACUCUCAGGGUAGGGGUAAAAUCCUGUCAUCCUGAGAGGACCACCUGUUGCGAAGGCGCCACACUAGAACGGAUCCGACGGUCAGGGACGAAACCUAGGGGCACGAACCGGAUUAGAUACCCGGGUAGUCCUAGGUGUAAACGCUGUGGACUUGAUGUUGGGGGUGCUCCGAGCGCUCUCAGUGUCGAAGCGAAGGUGAUAAGUCCACUGCCUGGGGAGUACGGUCGCAAGGCUGAAACUUAAAGGAAUUGGCGGGGGAGCACUGCAACCUGAGGAUUGUGCGGUUUAAUUGGACUCAACGCCGGAA